rnacentral:pre_miRNA from 1 species
GUAAUGCGUUUCUGUUAUUUGUACCAUAGGUCGCAUUAAUAACGGAAAACAUUACAG